AUUGAACGCUGGCGGCAUGCCUUACACAUGCAAGUCGAACGGCAGCACGGGAGCGAUCCUGGUGGCGAGUGGCGAACGGGUGAGUAAUAUAUCGGAACGUGCCCAGUCGUGGGGGAUAACGUAGCGAAAGCUACGCUAAUACCGCAUACGAUCUAUGGAUGAAAGCGGGGGAUCGCAAGACCUCGCGCGAUUGGAGCGGCCGAUAUCAGAUUAGGUAGUUGGUGGGGUAAAAGUCUACCAAGCCUUCGAUCUGUAGCUGGUCUGAGAGGACGACCAGCCACACUGGAACUGAGACACGGUCCAGACUCCUACGGGAGGCAGCAGUGGGGGAAUUUUUGGACAAUGGGCGCAAGCCUGAUCCAGCAAUGCCGCGUGCAGGAUGAAGGCCUUCGGGUUGUAAACUGCUUUUGUACGGAACGAAACGGCUCUUUCUAAUAAAGGGAGCGUAAUGACGGUACCGUAAGAAUAAGCACCGGCUAACUACGUGCCAGCAGACGCGGUAA
rnacentral:rRNA from 1 species